UCACAGCUUUACGCGCGGCGCGCACCUCGGAACUAGCGCGCCGCGUCCCCGGGACACCACGCAACUCCCGGCCCUGGGCCCCUGAACCUGGAGCUGCGUAAUCCACGAAAGGGUGUGUGCCUGGGUAGCGCUGCCACGCCUCGAGUGGGGCCUGGUCACUACUGGGGGGCAAGCGUCUCUGCCUGGAAAUGAUGAUAUCUGUGCAAACAGGAAGGAACAAUCCUAGGAUCUUCUCCAGGACCUGUCACGGUAAUCUAGAGCCAUGAGGGCUGGUUUAAAAAGUAGAGACACUUUCACCGCCUUUCUAGGGGACAGCCAUCCUGACGAUGUACUCAGCGGGCCGCGGACUUGAGAGUCACUGCUUUGCCACCAGACCUCAGAUUUAAAAUAAUCAAACUUAGGUUACCGUGAAAAUCCGUCCGGCUUCCACGUUUUCAUCUGUGAUCAUUUCUUAAUAAAGGAGCCUCAUUACUUCUGCACUGCUAAAGGAUCCCACUGCAGUAAAAAUGCCGUCACAGGAUGACCUCCGUUUCCAACCCCAGAUUCAAAAGUCAAAAAUGUGUUAUCUAGCUUCCAAGAGUCAAGAAAGUUCUUUUUUUUGUCAUUCCAAACCCCUCCCCUCAAAUAAAACAAUAAUUAUCUUGGCUCCGAACCCUGGGGAGGCAUUGUUCAAAGGCA